rnacentral:lncRNA from 1 species
UUAUUUGUUCAGGAAUCAUUUGGUCUGAAUCUUUCCGUGCUUUGUGUGUUUAGAUUGACUUCAGAGAAAAAUUAGGAAUAGAAGGAAUCAUUUGCUCUGUGUGUUUUGUUUCAGUUCUUUAUAAAGAUCUGGUUCACAAGAGUCACUUGUUCAGGAUUCAGUUGAUUCACGCUGGAUGUGUUUUUUUUUAAGAAAAUAGCCUAUAUUGGUGUGUAGCUUAUAGCCCUAAUAUACAGUACUGACCUUUUUUUGUCUUUUUGAACGGCAGAUAUCUCGAGACCAAACCAGAGGACUGAAGACAACACAAGCUGGACCACGUCUCCACCUGAUCUCUGUUUUAAUGCACCAAGUUGCUUCAGCCCUUUAUAACACCACAAACAGCCUGCAGCUAAAGCGUUUUAGAAAUGUCAAGGAUUUACCCAGUUGCUAAGCGGUUCACAGGCUCGCCGCUGUUUUCCCGGUCCGUCAUAUGAAGUGUCCUGGGCGCAGUAGUCUGUCGGCCAUCUGGAAGCCGCUUCUGCCUGAGUGACAACCCACUUCAGAUUCACACCACACAUCUGUGUGUGUAUGAGCAGGCAUGAAAACCAGCACAUCUGUCAUGAGUGCGUGUUGGGACCGUUUGCAUUGUGUUUUUGUGACUGGGUGUGACUGAGAUCUCAGAGAAUGUGUAAAUGACGUAACGUAUGUUUAUGUUGUUACUGGGUAAAAAAAAAAAAAGAAGAAAAUACUGAAGAAUAAAAAAAUGCUGUAUGACUUGUGUGAAACAAUUUUAACUCUGGGACUCCUGGUUUCAACAAUAACAAGACAUUGAGUACUAAUUACAUUUUGAAACUUGAAAAUUUUAUUUUCUUGUAAUUCACAAUCAGAUUUGAAAACAAGUCUAGCACAAUCGUGUAGUGUGAUUUAUGAGAAGAUUAUUUUUCGUGAAUCAAAUACUUAGUAAAAGCUGAUUGUUCAACGAAAACACUUUUAUCUUUUUUUUCAAAUAGUUUUAUUUUUUAGGUGUUAUUUAUUUUUGUGAACCAUGAGUUACCAGUUUGAAUCAGUCUGUAACACUAAUCUGAAUUUUAAACAAGGAGCUAUAUUAUGAUAUAGAAUAUAUCAUAUAUAAUAUAUAUAAGCUGAUAUUAUAUAGGGUGUGUGUGUCUGUAUGUAUAUAUAUAUAUAUAUAUAUAUAUAUAUAUAUAUAUAUAUAUAUAUAUAUAUAUAUAUAUAUAUAUAUAUAUAAUAUACUGUAUAUUAGAUUUAAAAAAUAAAUAAAAUUUGAAAUGUUGCCUUUCAAAAUAACUGAAAUGAGUUGAAGUACCAGAAAAACAAAACUAUUUAAAUGUUUUUUAAAGAAAUAAAGCUGAAAUUAAAAAUAUAUAAAUAUUAGAAGAAAAUCUUGAAUUUCAACUGAAAUUAGUUAUUCUUUUCUCUAAACUAAAAACUAAAAUACGAAUAAGUUAAAGCCAUUUUGAUAUAUUAAAAAAUACAAAAUGACAAAAGCAC